GGUAGAAUGGCUGAAUAAGUAUUAGACUGUAAAUCUAAAGAUAAAGGUUAUAAUCCUUUUUCUACCA
rnacentral:tRNA from 1 species